ACCAACUUCAAAUCCUGUUUCAAACAUCUUAAAAAAAAUUGGUGCUGGAAACAAAAGCAAGAGAAACUUAAUCUGGAGACAUGGGAAUAGAAGAGCCCUUUGGCAAAGAAUCACACAAGUAUGUCUGGAGAAGAGCAAAAUCCUAGGAAGAAGACAUCCACCAAGUACUCAAAAGCAGAGAGUCACACAGGAGCUGACUGCAGAGCUGGGUCUCAUCUUUCCACAAACAACCCCUCAGCACCCCAGGGGUACUGCUGGGGAGAAGAGAGACAGUUGCCAACUGCUUCAGUUAUGGAGGACUGGGGUUGUGCAGAUGUCCACAGAUGUAAAAUUGCUCCUUAAACUGCUCCCAGAUAAAUAGGUCAGCAAGUGGUUACUUCCUAAGCACUUUGGAUUCCUCAGAAACCAAUUAUUUUUAUUUCAGAAGCUGUGACUCCUAGUAAGCCUGUGCCUAGCUCAGAAGUGUAGCUGAAAGCAUCAGUACUCUAAAUUAAGAGCAAGAUCUAAUUGAUUAGUUUCACAAAAAUAUGAGAGCCAAACUGAAGCAAUAUGCAAGUUUUCAUUGCCUUGACUCUUUAAAGCAUAAAUGCUUGGUUUUUAAUAUUGCUUCUCAAUAAAUAUUCUUUUU
rnacentral:lncRNA from 1 species